AUUGAACGCUGGCGGCAUGCCUUACACAUGCAAGUCGAACGGCGGCACGGGGCAACCUGGUGGCGAGUGGCGAACGGGGGAGUCAUGCAUCGGAACGUACCUUUCAGUGGGGGAUAAGGUAGCGAAAGUUACGCUAAUACCGCAUAUUCUGUGAGCAGGAAAGCAGGGGCUCGCAAGACCUUGCGCUGAUUGAGCGGCCGAUGUCCGAUUAGCUAGUUGGUGGGGGAAAGGCGCACCAGGGCGACGAUCUGUAGCGGGUCUGAGAGGAUGAUCCGCCACACUGGAACUGAGACACGGUCCAGACUCCUACGGGAGGCAGCAGUGGGGAAUUUUGGACAAUGGGGGCAACCCUGAUCCAGGCAUGCCGCGUGAGUGAAGAAGGCCUUCGGGUUGUAAAGCUCUUUCGGCCGGGAAGAAAUCGCACGGGCUAAUACCCUGUGUGGAUGACGGUACCGGAAUAAGAAGCACCGGCUAACUACGUGCCAGCCGCCGCCGUAAAAC
rnacentral:rRNA from 1 species